GAUGAACGCUGGCGGCGUGCCUAAUACAUGCAAGUCGAGCGAACGGACGAGAAGCUUGCUUUUCUGAUGUUAGCGGCGGACGGGUGAGUAACACGUGGAUAACCUACCUAUAAGACUGGGAUAACUUCGGGAAACCGGAGCUAAUACCGGAUAAUAUUUUGAACCGCAUGGUUCAAAAGUGAAAGACGGUCUUGCUGUCACUUAUAGAUGGAUCCGCGCUGCAUUAGCUAGUUGGUAAGGUAACGGCUACCAAGGCAACGAUGCAUAGCCGACCUGAGAGGGUGAUCGGCCACACUGGAACUGAGACACGGUCCAGACUCCUACGGGAGGCAGCAGUAGGGAAUCUUCCGCAAUGGGCGAAAGCCUGACGGAGCAACGCCGCGUGAGUGAUGAAGGUCUUCGGAUCGUAAAACUCUGUUAUUAGGGAAGAACAUAUGUGUAAGUAACUGUGCACAUCUUGACGGUACCUAAUCAGAAAGCCACGGCUAACUACGUG
rnacentral:rRNA from 1 species